UCCGAUAUGGUCUAACGGCUAGGAUAUGCCGCUUUCAUAGGGCUCGCUCUGGAAGGCACCGGCAAGGCCCGGGUUCGAUUCCCGGUAUCGGAA